rnacentral:tRNA from 1 species
GGAGAGGUGUCCGAGUCGGCCGAAGGAGCUCGCCUGCUAAGCGAGUAUACGGGCUUAAACCUGUAUCGAGAGUUCGAAUCUCUCCCUCUCCGCCA